rnacentral:rRNA from 1 species
CAGCACCACGGUAAGACGGAGGGUGCUAGCGUUGUUCGGAAUCACUGGGCGUAAAGGGCGCGUAGGCGGCCUGUUAAGUCGGAUGUGAAAGCCCGGGGCUCAACCCCGGAACUGCAUCCGAGACUGGCAGGCUUGAGACCGGGAGAGGAGGGUGGAAUAUCCAGUGUAGAGGUGAAAUUCGUAGAUAUUGGAUGGAACACCGGCGGCGAAAGCGGCUCUCUGGCCCGGAUCUGACGCUGAGGCGCGAAAGCGUGGGGAGCAAACAGGAUUAGAGACCCCAGUAGUCCCUGUCUCUUAUACA